CGGACGUGGGGAACCUGCCCUAUACAGGGGAGUAACAGCUGGAAACGGCUGCUAAUACCGCAUAAGCGCACAGAAUCGCAUGAUUCAGUGUGAAAAGCCCUGGCAGUAUAGGAUGGUCCCGCGUCUGAUUAGCUGGUUGGUGAGGUAACGGCUCACCAAGGCGACGAUCAGUAGCCGGCUUGAGAGAGUGAACGGCCACAUUGGGACUGAGACACGGCCCAA
rnacentral:rRNA from 1 species